ensembl:Mt_tRNA
CAGGGAAUAGUUUAACGAGAAUUUCAGCUUUGGGUGCUGAUGGUGGAGUUUGUCACUUCUUCCUUGA